UCCCCCUGACCAAAGAUAUGCCAAUCUUCUGGGAAGAAAAAAAAAAAAAAAUUUUUUUAGGCAAGUGUUUUAAAUCACUGCUGUCAAACAUUGUUUCCUUAUGAAGAAAAGCAGUUUUGAGGGGCUGUAGCCAGAUCUGGGGCAGGGAAGGGACUCAUAACAUCUCUAACCAAAAGCCUUGUUCUUUUCCCAAUGUGGGGACGCCCUGAACCAUACAAUGGAGGUGUGUCUAUGCCCUUGCAGAGCCACAGCCUUUUUUUCAUCUUCACCAUAUGAUGACAUUGUACCAAGACAUCUGCAGUCUAUGUAACCUGUUUCUGGAAACACAGAGUUUGACUUGGUGGACCCUAAUGAUGGUGUUUUAAAAAAGCACCCUCACAGCUGCCAGGUACAGAUUAAGUGUGGUGGCAUAAGAUGUGACAAGGCCUGGACUUUGCAUGGAGGUUGAUAAGGUGUGGGCACAUCUACCCUUCUCCCCAGAAUGUCUUGAGUAGGUACCAAGUGUCUGGCAGGGGUCAUACUUUCUGCAGUGUUCUUGGUCACUGGAAGUACUUUAACUCCAGAGACAUCAUGCCCAGCGAGGUGGGGCUCCUCACCUGGGUGAAACCACACCUGCCCGUGUGUAAUCACAAACCCUCUGUUUUAGUGAGGUCUCUCUCAUAUGCACUCCCUAUUUCUAUGGUAAGGGUUUUGCCCUUUUUAUUUACUUAUUUAUUUGGUAACUGAUGUUUUGUUUUCUGUUCUUUUCUUUUUCAGGGCCAGAUGGCAACCCAUGACUUAUCCCUCCUACUUAUCCCAGUGACUCUUUGGCAUCAGAGGAAAAAACUUCUGCAAGAAGCCUGUCUCUACAGUCACUAAGCUCCCAGAGACUUGGUAGCAGUUUUCAUAUCUUCUUUGCUGUAGUUUAUUUCUUUACCCUCCCUCCUAGGUGUUUUACUAAUUCUUUGUUUUUCCUAUCUCCUUUACCAGCACUUUCUGUAGGCUGCAUUUUUUUUCCUUCUGUGUAAAGCAGUGUGAUUCACGGGAUAUGGCUUUGUAGCUCCUGCUUAGUGACCUCUCCUGGUUCCUCACCUCGUGUUCUUCACUGGUCAGAGCCAUUGGUGUUUAGAUGCUCAGCAGAGGUGAUUGCACAGCCUUUGACACCUCACAUCCCCUGCUGCCUAGAUUUGAAAGAGUAAAGCAACUUCUGGAUUGCUUCAAAUGCACUGGCAACAUAAAUAGCAACAGUUUUCCAGAUGAAGAAAUCUAUGUGGGAUAUGUUAAAUGACAUUUCUCUGAGUGCUCUGAUUCAGUGGGUCUCCAGCAUCAGAAAACUGAUCAGAAACUUCAGGACUGAGCUAAUGCCUCCAAAAUUAGUGGGCCUUAUUUUGAGGGUGGCCCUGGUCACAAUGUGUGCCCUGUGAAGACCAGCAGGCUGAGGAGCACUGGGCUGUAGCCCACGUUUACUUAUCUGAGUUUCAUUGCUUCAGCCAGCCCCAUGACAAAA